rnacentral:rRNA from 1 species
UACAGAGGGUGCGAGCGUUGUCCGGAAUCACUGGGCGUAAAGGGCGCGUAGGCGGCUUGAUAAGGUUGCGGUGAAAGCCCGGGGCUCAACCCCGGGUCGGCCGUGGCAACUGUCGAGCUGGAGCACUGUAGAGGCAGGUGGAAUUCCGGGUGUAGCGGUGGAAUGCGUAGAGAUCCGGAAGAACACCGGUGGCGAAGGCGGCCUGCUGGGCAGUGGCUGACGCUGAGGCGCGACAGCUAGGGGAGCAAACGGG